UACGUAGGUCCCGAGCGUCGUCCGGAUUUAUUGGGCGUAAAGCGAGCGCAGGUGGUUUAUUAAGUCUGGUGUAAAAGGCAGUGGCUCAACCAUUGUAUGCAUUGGAAACUGGUAGACUUGAGCGCGGGAGAGGAGAGUGGAAUUCCAUGUGUAGCGGUGAAAUGCGUAGAUAUAUGGAGGAACACCGGUGGCGAAAGCGGCUCUCUGGCCUGUAACUGACACUGAGGCUCGAAAGCGUGGGGAGCAAACAGG
rnacentral:rRNA from 1 species